UAUAUGAUUGCUGGAUCACAUGGUAUGUUCAAUUUUAGAAGAAAUAAGUAACUGUUUUGCAAGGUGACUGUACCAUUUUGUGUUCUCACCAGCAAU
rnacentral:pre_miRNA from 1 species